rnacentral:rRNA from 1 species
UACGUAGGGUCCGAGCGUUGUCCGGAAUUACUGGGCGUAAAGAGCUCGUAGGUGGUUUGUCGCGUUGUUCGUGAAAACUCACAGCUCAACUGUGGGCGUGCGGGCGAUACGGGCAGACUUGAGUACUGCAGGGGAGACUGGAAUUCCUGGUGUAGCGGUGAAAUGCGCAGAUAUCAGGAGGAACACCGGUGGCGAAGGCGGGAUCCUGGGCCAGUACUGACGCUGAGGAGCGAAAGCGUGGGGAGCAAACAGG